rnacentral:rRNA from 1 species
AAUCCGGUUGAUCCUGCCGGACCUGACUGCUAUCGGAUUGAUACUAAGCCAUGCGAGUCAUUGUAGUAAUACAAGGCAGACGGCUCAGUAACGCGUAGUCAACCUAACCUAUGGACGGGAAUAACCUCGGGAAACUGAGAAUAAUGCCCGAUAGAACACA